UUAGUUCAAGAUAAAGAAUGUUAGUGUGAAUAAAUUACUUUCUCUCACAGAAAGACUUUGGGACUGAUUCUGCUUUCACUUUCACUGCUGGAUAUCUGACGUCUUUGAAGUCACACCAUCAAAGUUAGCAGAGUUACAAAGCAGAGGGUGAAGAGCUGAAAGUUAAAAGGUAAACGUGAAUCUUGAGGAGACAAGUUUACACGGACUGAGUCCUACUACCCAGGUAGACAUUCAGUCUCACAACAGAAGAAUCCUGGCAAAGGAAGGAAGGAAUCCUACUGAGAGAUACUCAACAACAUUGUAAAAAUAGACAUCUAUGCUUGUUGUUUUAGGAUUCCCUGGAAGCUACCCUCCUUUGUGUACUCUCAGGAGGGUAGCGAGAGUGGGGGCACUGACACAUCAAUCAAGAGCUUGUUCAGAAGGAAGUGAACAUUGUAAAUUGAUGCUGUUAUCAUUACACAGUGGACACAGACUUUCAUGUGCAGGGGAGUGGUGAGUAUUAUGAUAUUUGGGAUAUGAUUUGGGAGACACUAGCAAAGAAAUGGAGAUGGUGAUUGCAAAUAUGACAAUAAUUCUAAAAUGGAAGAUAAUGGCACAUUGGAAUGAGAGGAAAACUUACAAGGUACAGUGUCCUUUUAAAAAGCAAUAAGACAAUCGCUGAGAAAGUUUCUUUUAAUUGGCCAAGCAAAACAAGGCCUAACACACAGCUUGAUGAUCUUUCUGUUUGUCUGUAACUGUGAGGGAUUGUGGGGCUCAAACUGGGGUCCACAGCUACCCAAACAGUCCUUGGACCACAGUCAUCACCCAUCAGCUCGCUGGUGCUGGAGGGAAUGUGGACAGGUGGACCUAGCUCACCAUAGGCAUCACCCAUGAAGCUCCCAAUUGAAGGAGUAGUCCAGCCUACCCAAUUGGCCCAGCUCACUAUUUAAGCCAGACGGAAGCACAGGAAGUUGUCUGACCAAUGGGGUGUACCUCUGGCUACUGCUACAUUGGACUCAACCUUCUUGCUUGACUCCUGGGCCCUGCCUUAUUCCCGAUUCCUUCCUUCCUGCUUUGUUCUAUAACCCUGCUUCUAUACCCCACCCCUGGCUACUGACUCCUGCACUGUCUCUGUCAUUGAUCUCCAGUUCCUGACUCCUGCUCUGACCACUAGGCCUGACUACAGUUCUAACCACCAGGUCUAACUGCUUCAGAUCAGGAUAUUUGCACUGUGGCUCCCUCCACAUUCUGUUGUUGAGGAAGUUGUUGUUAUGAAAAUCAUAAAACAAUGAAGAGACAAAGAGGAAUGGCUUAGAUGAUUUGACAAUAUAAUUUAUGUUUAGUGACAGUAUCCUGUUCCUACAGAUUCAGGGAUAGAGACUGCUUUCCUGCCCCUCCCACGACCUACCAGCUUGGCCUACCUAAACAAAGAAAUGUUAUAAAAAGGUAUGAUGUAGGGAUAAAUAUUAUAACAACAUCAGGGGUAGGAAUUGCACAAUUAUAGCAGGUUGUGCAUC
rnacentral:lncRNA from 1 species